rnacentral:rRNA from 1 species
AGAGUUUGAUCCUGGCUCAGGAUGAACGCUGGCGGCGUGCCUAAUACAUGCAAGUCGAACGCUUCACUUCGGUGAAGAGUGGCGAACGGGUGAGUAAUACAUAAGUAACCUGGCAUCUACAGGGGGAUAACUGAUGGAAACGUCAGCUAAGACCGCAUAGGUGUAGAGAUCGCAUGAACUCUAUAUGAAAAGUGCUACGGGACUGGUAGAUGAUGGACUUAUGGCGCAUUAGCUUGUUGGUAGGGUAACGGCCUACCAAGGCGACGAUGCGUAGCCGACCUGAGAGGGUGACCGGCCACACUGGGACUGAGACACGGCCCAGACUCCUACGGGAGGCAGCAGUAGGGAAUUUUCGGCAAUGGGGGAAAUCCUGACCGAGCAACGCCGCGUGAAGGAAGAAGUAAUUCGUUAUGUAAACUUCUGUCAUAGAGGAAGAACGGUGGAUAUAGGGAAUGAUAUCCAAGUGACGGUACUCUAUAAGAAAGCCACGGCUAACUACGUGCCAGCAGCCGCGGUAAUACGUAGGUGGCGAGCGUUAUCCGGAAUUAUUGGGCGUAAAGAGGGAGCAGGCGGCACUAAGGGUCUGUGGUGAAAGAUCGAAGCUUAACUUCGGUAAGCCAUGGAAACCGUAGAGCUAGAGUGUGUGAGAGGAUCGUGGAAUUCCAUGUGUAGCGGUGAAAUGCGUAGAUAUAUGGAGGAACACCAGUGGCGAAGGCGACGAUCUGGCGCAUAACUGACGCUCAGUCCCGAAAGCGUGGGGAGCAAAUAGGAUUAGAUACCCUAGUAGUCCACGCCGUAAACGAUG